rnacentral:rRNA from 1 species
CUACGGGUGCUGCAGUGAGGAAUUUUGCGCAAUGGGGGAAACCCUGACGCAGCAACGCCGCGUGAGUGAAGAAGGCCCUUGGGUCGUAAAGCUCUGUCAAUGGGGAAGAAGUUACUUGGUAUUAAUAGUGCCUUGUAUUGACGGUACCCAUGAAGGAAGCACCGGCUAACUCCGUGCCAGCAGCCGCGGUAAUACGGGGGGUGCAAGCGUUAUUCGGAAUUAUUGGGCGUAAAGGGCACGCAGGCGGUCCUGUCAGUCAGAUGUGAAAGCCCGGGGCUCAACCCCGGACGUGCAUUUGAAACAGCAGGACUUGAGUACGGGAGAGGAAAGGGGAAUUCCUGGUGUAGAGGUGAAAUUCGUAGAUAUCAGGAGGAACACCGGUGGCGAAGGCGCCUUUCUGGACCGAUACUGACGCUGAGGUGCGAAGGCGUGGGUAGCGAACGGGAUUAGAUACCCGGGUAGUC